UGAGGCUGGUGAUGCAGUAAUUGCUCAGUACUUUGAAGCAAGAUGUCUUUAUCUCAAAUCAUGGGUCUCUCAUUUAUGAUCAUUUCAGGUGUUUACAGACUUCACCUGGCCAGCAUGAAUGCCCCUGCAUUCAAAAUACAGCAAAGCCUUCCAUUCUUGAAGCCCAGAAGCCAUUCCUGGG
rnacentral:lncRNA from 1 species